CUGCGAGUUCGCGGGAGAGUAGGUUAUUGCCAGGGUUUUUAUUUUUAUACUUUAAACUUUGAUUUUAUUUUUAUGUUUUUUAAAUAUUGGUGUUUUUGAAUGUGUUGUUUAAAUAACAUAAAAAAUAAAAUAUAUAUAUUGACAUGCAUUAAACAAAGAUAUAUAUUAUUUUAUGUUGUAUAAAUAAAUUGGCAAAAUAGAGAUGGAAGAUAAAAAUAUGGUCAAAGUAAUAAGAGUCUAUGGUGAAAUGCCUAGGA
rnacentral:misc_RNA from 1 species